rnacentral:rRNA from 1 species
GCUUGUCUCAAAGAUUAAGCCAUGCAUGUCUCAGUAUAAGCUUUUACACGGCGAAACUGCGAAUGGCUCAUUAAAACAGUUAUCGUUUCUUUGGUGGUUAUUGAUUACAUGGAUAACCGUGGUAAUUCUAGUGCUAAUACAUGCAACGAUCCCCGACUUUUGAAGGGGAGUAUUUAUUAGAUUAAAAAACCAAUCGUAGCGAUACGUUUUUUGGUGAAUCAUGAUAACUUUUCGAAUCGCACGACAUUGUUGGCGAUGGUUCAAUCAAAUUUCUGCCCUAUCACCUUUCGAUGGUAGUAUAGAGGACUACCAUGGGUAUAACGGGUAACGGAGAAUUAGGGUUCGAUUCCGGAGAGGGAGCCUGAGAAACGGCUACCACAUCCAAGGAAGGCAGCAGG